rnacentral:rRNA from 1 species
CCUACGGGUGGCUGCAGUGAGGAAUAUUGGUCAAUGGGCGGAAGCCUGAACCAGCCAAGUCGCGUGAGGGAUUAAGGCCCUGCGGGUCGUAAACCUCUUUUGCCGGGGAGCAGAGGUCCGGACGUGUCCGGGCCGGGAGAGUACCCGGAGGAAAAGCAUCGGCUAACUCCGUGCCAGCAGCCGCGGUAAGACGGAGGAUGCGAGCGUUAUCCGGAUUUAUUGGGUUGACAGGGUGCGUAGGCGGGCACUUAAGCCGGCGGUCAAAUGUCGGGGCUCAACCCCGGCCUGCCGUCGGAACUGGGUGCAUUGAGUGGGCGAGAAGUAUGCGGAAUGCGUGGUGUAGCGGUGAAAUGCAUAGAUAUCACGCAGAACCCCGAUUGCGAAGGCAGCAUACCGGCGCCCUACUGACGCUGAGGCACGAAAGUGCGGGUAUCGAACAGGAUUAGAUACCCGUGUAGUC